UACAGAGGGUGCAAGCGUUAAUCGGAAUUACUGGGCGUAAAGCGUGCGUAGGCGGUUAUGUAAGUCGGGUGUGAAAGCCCCGGGCUCAACCUGGGAAUUGCAUUCGAGACUGCAUAGCUAGGGUGCGGAAGAGGGAAGCGGAAUUUCCGGUGUAGCGGUGAAAUGCGUAGAUAUCGGAAGGAACACCAGUGGCGAAAGCGGCUUCCUGGUCCAGCACCGACGUUCAGGCACGAAAGCGUGGGGAGCAAACAGG
rnacentral:rRNA from 1 species